GAUGAACGCUGGCGGCGUGCCUAACACAUGCAAGUCGAACGAAGAGGCCCCUUCGGGGGUACUUCAGUGGCGGACGGGUGAGUAACACGUAGGUGACCUGCCCCGAAGUGUGGAAUAACAGUCCGAAAGGAUUGCUAAUACCGCAUGUGGUCUGUGAGGUUAGAGUCUUGCAGACUAAAGCAGUAAUGUGCUUCGGGAGGGGCCUGCGCCCCAUCAGCUAGUUGGUAGGGUAAUGGCCUACCAAGGCAACAACGGGUAGGGGGCCUGAGAGGGUGACCCCCCACAUUGGCACUGACACGCGGGCCAAACUCCUACGGGAGGCAGCAGUGAGGAAUAUUGCUCAAUGGGCGAAAGCCUGAAGCAGCAACGCCGCGUGCGCGAUGAAGGCCUUCGGGUCGUAAAGCGCUUUUGAGAGGGACGAGAUAGGACGGUACCUCUGGAAUAAGUCACGGCUAACUACGUGCCAGCAGCAGCCGCAGUAA
rnacentral:rRNA from 1 species